AGAGUUUGAUCCUGGCUCAGAACGAACGCUGGCGGCGUGCCUAACACAUGCAAGUCGAACGAGAAAGGGGCUUCGGCUCCGAGUAAAGUGGCGCACGGGUGAGUAACACGUAGGUAACCUGCCUCCAAGAUUGGGAUAACCUGUCGAAAGACGAGCUAAUACCAAAUAAGACCACGGCUUCCUCGGAAGCAGGGGUCAAAGGUAGCCUCUACUUGUAAGCUAUCACUUAGAGAUGGGCCUGCGUACCAUUAGCUAGUUGGUGGGGUAACGGCCCACCAAGGCAAAGAUGGUUAGCUGGUCUGAGAGGAUGAUCAGCCACACUGGAACUGAGACACGGUCCAGACUCCUACGGGAGGCAGCAGUGGGGAAUAUUGCGCAAUGGGCGAAUGCCUGACGCAGCAACGCCGCGUGAGUGAUGAAGGCCUUCGGGUCGUAAAGCUAUGUCGGAGGGAACGAAUGCUCUUGAGGUUAACAGCCUCGGGAAGUGACGGACCCUCAAAAGAAGAACCGCA
rnacentral:rRNA from 1 species